GUCGAAGUAUAGGUCAUUUUAAGUAACACAAUGGCUGCUUUUUUAGUGAAACGUUUUAAUUUUAGUAUGUAAAAGAAGUGUUUGGUAUGCUAGCCCUAACAACCAAGUGCUAACGCCUAGCCUAGCUCCUAUAGGCCUAGUGUGAAAUGAAUAUGGUUCAUUUGAUUGUUUAAUACAGUUAUAGUGUUGUAUCUGGUUCAUUCGGUGUGUUAGUGUUUCUGAGUCUCUUAGGGAAGCUGAAGUUAGUUCUUCUCUUCACAAAUCAGUCAGUUAAAACGGCCUCACUCUUUAGGUUGUAAGGUAAUGAGCCGCCAUUUUAGAACCACAGCUGAAGCAGCAGGGUCGGCAACUUCAAAGGAGCCAUUUUACCAAGGCCGGGAGAAAAAGAGUCACGUGCCUGUGCCGGUUUGUGUUGUGGGUUAAUUAACAGAAGGGAGAGAGAGAAGUGAAAGAGAUCUUUGGUUUUGCCUUUGCUGACUGCUGAUCUGAUCGUCUCAAGUCUGGUGACCUGCUGCAGAAAACCCUCUCCCUCUAUCAUUAACAAGCAAUUCAGUCUGUCCUAUCACUCUCC
ensembl:lncRNA